UCAAAUAUUUCCCAGUCGUGCGAUUAUAUCGAUUCGGAUUAGUCGUUUCGAUCUCGAACAAGAUGUUCGAAGUAAAUUGACGACAACGUAAUUAUAUCUCUCGUGAUUUGAAAAAUAUCUUAUAUCAUGUAUUAAACACACAUAUGUAUGUGAAAGGUUGUUCUACUACGUUAGCAUUGAAUGACCGACGAUUAUCUGUAUGAUUGUCGAGAGAGAAACGCGAUUAUAUCUUCGAUAUACCGAAGAUAUUUUUACCUCUCACACACAAUCUUAUAUCGCGCGAUUAUUACUUCGAUUCGAGAUUGCGUCUCAUCUUCUCCAAGAUUCCGCGAUUCGUUCUCGUGAUAUAUUGUCGCGCAAUAAUACGUGGAUACGCGGAUAAUUUUCAUCUGACAUCUGUCGUUGAUGAUAUAUCAUCUUAUGAUGAUCUUGUUGGAUACAUCAAGAAGCAAAGAUAAAUUCGAUUAUCUCUAUGAUAAUUAACUCUGACCACCCUGCUGAUUCCAAAACCAUCGCUCUGAAUAGGAAUAAUCGGCUCUUCUCUAAUGUUCUAGGACACUUACCGUUCUCGGACUUGGGUGGAACGGGCUCGAUCUUGACGGAGGUGGUGGUGGCGUGUAGAGACGUGGAAACCUCGGCGACUUGGCAGGGCACCGAGGCCAAGGGUUCCCUCUUCACCGUCAGAUUGGCACCGCUAUUGUUGGCACCCGCAUUGCUGUCCUGUCCGUUCCAAGAUGAAGCGACAGGUUUCCUCUUCCAGAUUGGAGUUUUUUUUUAGAAUUUCAAGAACUGUUCAGGAUUGGAAGCUCGAAAAAUAUAGCUUCAGAAAGAUCGAAAUCUGACGUCUGGGAAAUGUGAAUAAAAAAUGAGGAGAUUAGAGAGGUCCAAAAAGAAGCUUCCGAUUAUCAAGGGUACCACACGGACUCGUACCAUUGCUAUUCCUGCAGAGGCACGACGUCCUGGUCGAUUUGUUCUCCAGCUUCACCGGUUGGCCUUGACUGGGCAGAAAGGCCUCCCGCUUCUUCGUGGCCGUGGUGGCGGCGGUGGUGGUUUGAACGGCGGCGGCUUGGACGGCACCACCGCCGUGCACCAGCAUGCCACUGGUCGUGCUGCUGGUGUUGGUCAGGCAGGACGAGCCCGAGUUGACGGUGACGUUGCAUCCUGUCGUCGCCGUCGCGCCUAUCGGCGGUUGGUACUCCUGCAGAAGGACACCCGUCGUCGGCGCGAUCCCGCUCGCCGAGUUGGGUGACGAGAAGCUGUUGAUGGUCAACGUCGGCGCGCCGCCGGUCACCAGGGACAGCUGGGGCGAGAACGCGUUCUGGUGGAGGCCGCCUUUUGCCAAAUACAAGACUUGAUAUUACGCUGAUAAGAUAAUUCUCGGGAUGGCAAGGGGAGAGAGGAAGAUCCGAUUCAGCAAACUCAUUAGAAAAAUUUGCUUCAAUAUUUUUUCGAAAACUCUCAGAGAUGCUUUUUCCGGAAAGUGCUACAAGUUGUCGAUUCGUUGAAGGAAUUAUCAAAUUUUAGCGCACGUGCAGCGGUUCCCCGAUACUUGGAAAUUUCCCGAGUGCGACAAACACGUCCGGGAUUCAAUAGGUUCCCUUACCGUGAUGCAGAUGGUGGAGCCCGGUGAGGUUGAGGGUAUGCUGAGUGUGCUGGGUAUGCUGGGCGUGAUGCAGGCUACCGGCAACGUUAACCCCGACACCCUGCAGACUCAGGGCCUGCUGGCCCGCCGCCGCGGGCGCCAGGUUCGCCAAGUUUUUCGCCAGCAGCUCCAGCUGCGUCACGGGCACGGGGCUGUAGGGCGAUCCCGGCGGGGGCGUGGGAGCGCCCCAGGUGUAGCCGCCCAUCCCGACCCCAACCGCCGCGGAAAACACGCUCUCUGAAACUGGAGAAUCCGCCGAUUAAUCGACCCGGCUCACCGCGAACGGGCGAUAAGUGUACGGUAUUCGUGCGCUCUCUCUCUCUCUCUCUCUCUUGCUCCUGUCCGUGAAUAGAAAAGUUAUGUUAUUCCGCGAUCGCGAUUCUAGAUCGAGUCCAUUUGACGAUCGAAAUAGCGGGGUAUUUUAUCUUGUGUAGAAUUGUCUCUAUUUGUAUAAUCAAAAGCAUGUAAUCUCUGGAUCAUUUAGCUUCUCGAGGAAGAAUAAAAUGAGAGCUCCAUUUUUUAUCAAUUAUUGAUAAAAUACGGAGAGGGUAGCUCUCGAGAUGGGGGUACUUUGGUUCUAUAUUUCGCCAAUAAUUAGGAUUCCAUAUUUUAUCGAUAAUUACCUAACCGGAUAUUUUAUCGAUAAUUAGGUAACUGCAGUUUGCAAGGGGAGGAGAAUACGGUGGUAGAAAUGGGGCGGAUAUUACAAUUUUCAAAAUCCGCGUUUUGCGAGGGAAAAGUCUCGCGUUAUUCUCGCGAGAGGGAGAGAGAGAGAGAGAGAGAACACGCGACGUUCUAUCGGAGCGCGCGGUAGCGCGAUAUAUCUUCGGCAGCGCGCUGCGCCAUCGCUAGGACUAUUGAUUUUAUCUAAAUGCGGAUACGUAUCUGCCUAUGCAAAUUAACGCGUGUGUGAAAAAUAUCUACGUCGAUGUCUACAACGAUUGCGUAUACAGACUUGACUGUCGUUAGCAGAAUGACACGACGUCGGAAAGUGUCAUUCAUCCCAAGAUUAUGCAUUAUGUCAAAAUUUCGAAUCUACAUCUAUGUACGUCCUUCGCUGCGCGACUUUAUACAUAUACUUACUUGUUCGUUCUGCAAUACAGCCCAACGAAGCAUGAAAGAUAAGGUUGAAUUGAUUAGAAACCGCGAAAUCGAAUCUUUACUAUACGGGAAAAAAUCAUCUCGACAUUCAUCAGAGUCCACGCAUUUCGCCAACUUGUUGAUUAAUAAUAUAAGUUAUAUAUUGUUA